UAUGUUCCGGGGUUCUCUGGUUCUCUUGGUGGGGUUUUCCUGUGCGCCUUUUCCACCUCUUUCCACCAGAUGGCGACAGGUUCCGGUUGGAGUGCGGUGGUGUCAUCAUCAUCCUCAGCUGUCAUCGAUUACCCUCAUCAGCGGAGCAUACUUUAGGAGUUGUCCGCCAGUCCAGCGUCGCCUGAGUGUUUGCCAGUCACGGUGAUCCCUUUGACACUCUGGACCCGCUGAUUAGAUCCUGGCAGUUUUCCUGGUUUCAGAACCUCCCUCGUGACGCCGUGGAAAGUACCCACUGGUUGCCCGAGUUCCCAGACUCACCUCUCCGUUGUUUUGCAAGUAUUGCCUGGAUCCCACGGCUGGCGGUCGAACCACUCCUCUGUGUCUCCGUUGCACCCGAGCCUACCUGUCCGUUCUUCGCCGCACUCCUCCGUUGUUCCUGGACCCACUAAGAGACCGAGACCCUGGACAUAAUCAGUUACCCUUCAAGAUUCAGACCCAACCACCACAAGUAAGAACAACCUGCGUUUGAUCUGAGAUUUCCAUGUUCCCACGACCCCUGAACUCACCAGUCUGCUCUUUCCCCUCGCAGUGAACCACUGCUGCCCGUAACCGUUGAUUCCCUGGACCAGACCACUUUGCCACACUCUGAUAAUUGUGUAAUCUUAAUAAAGCACUUAAACUGA